UGCUAAUUAGCUGUCAGUCUCUAUAAACAACCAGCAGACUGCAUUUCAGAGAGAUACUCCACCAAAAAUUCCCAAACAAGAAUUAAACGUUUGUGCCGGACUGCAACUUCUACUCUUUGAUUUCAGGCUUUAGACUGAGUAAAUCUGCUUACCUUAAACAUUUCUCAUGUGAUAAAGGUUUUCAUUUUUCUUACCAGUUGACUACAGAGAAGGAGGAUCAUGUCACAGCAGAUCCCCCGGGUCUGUUUCGCAUCCUCCCAAGAAGGCAGCUUCCAUACUUGCAUCUCAGUCAGUGCCCACCCUCUGGCUCCCUUGGACCAGGUAAAGAUGCAGUGCUAAAUCCAGGCCAUGCAAGUCUGUUGUGUUCUCCUAUUGCUGUUGACCUGGCCAUGUCUGAUUAGAUGGUAAGUCAUUCUCUUACCUUGUGUGUCUCUCUAUUACAGCUAAACUCCAGUAGUUAGG
rnacentral:lncRNA from 1 species